rnacentral:rRNA from 1 species
CCUACGGGUGGCAGCAGUGGGGAAUAUUGCACAAUGGGGGAAACCCUGAUGCAGCCACGCCGCGUGAAGGAAGACGGUUCUCGGAUUGUAAACUUCUGUUCUUAGUGAAGAAUAAUGACGGUAGCUAAGUAGUACGCCACGACUAAAUACGUGCCAGCAGCCUCGGUAAUAAGCAGGUGGCAAGCUUUGUCCGGAAGUACCGGGUGUAACGGGAGCGGAGGCGGGAAGACAAGUCAGAUGGGAAAAGUUCGGGCUUAACUUGAAGACUGCAGUUAAAACUGGUCUACUUGAGUGGAGUAGAGGUUGGCGGAAUGCCGGGUGUAGAGGUGAAAUGCGUAGAUAUUAGGAAGAACACCGAUGGCGAAGGCAGCCAACUGGGCUUUAACUGACGCUGAGGCUCGAAAGUGUGGGGAGCAAACAGGAUUAGAUACCCGGGUAGUC